rnacentral:misc_RNA from 1 species
UUUCCGUAGGUGAACCUGCGGAAGGAUCAUUAUUGAAUAUUCUUGAUGGGUUGUAGCUGGCUCUUAGGGGCAUGUGCACACUUGUCUUGACUUUAUUCAUCCACCUGUGCACCCUUCGUAGUCUUGGGGGUUGAGAGCAGUCGACUAUCGGAUGGCUAUUGCUUUUCCGGACAUGAGCAUUGCUGAGUGCGCAAGAAUACAGCUCUUCUCAAAUGGCUUGCAAAACCUCUCCCUCGAGUACUAUGUAUUCAUAUACCACAUACUAUGUUGAAGAAUUUGAUAAAUGGUCCUAUGUGUCAAUAACAAUCAUAUACAACUUUCAGCAACGGAUCUCUUGGCUCUC